CUGAAACAAACCCCCCCUCCUCGGAUCCCCCGCGCGGUGCCCGAGCCCCCAGGUGACUUCUGAGCCCGUUCAAAGCGUUUCCCUUCUGCCGCUCUGCUCGCCGCCACCCCGUCUGAUCCCAGCGCGCUCCUCGGCACCGCCGUGCUGCAGCGGAGCCCCGGCCGUGGGAUCCGCUCUGCCCAUUCGGCCGCAAACCGCCCUCCUGCAGGAAGCCGGCGGGCCGCAGGGGAUGUGCCGGGGAUCCUCUGCUCUGUUCGGGCUCGUUUCGGUUCCCCGCGCGCUGACCCGAAGGCACACCGAGCUGCCGCAGCCACUGCUGGCUCCAGCGAGGCGGCAGGUGGGGUUAUGUGCCCCGCAGGACGGCUCUUCUUCCUCACCCCUCUGCUCUGAAGCGCGCAGGGGAAGAAGCAGCAAAGAGCACGGAGAUGAACCUCAGCUGCCGUUGUCGGCCACAAGAAACGAGCUGCAGCUCAGCGUUCAGAUUUAAGCACCUUCAUUCCCUCCAGAACUCAGCAGUUCAUAGGGCAGGAGGCCUCGGCCACCGCCUCCAGCGAUGAGGAUCCUGCACCAAACACAUCCUUGCCCUGCAGCUGCUCCGUGUUCCCACGGUGCCGUUCCUCACCAGCAGCACAACCCAGCGGAACACCGAUGAGGACCCAAAGAAACCCAACUUCAGAUGCGCCGAGUUCUGUACCCGCACUCCAAACAGGCAAAGCCUCCAUCGGGCUGUGCUCCGAGCUCUGCAUCUGCACGUUUCACUUCGGCUCUGUGCCUCACUGCUCACUGCUCUUACCCGAAAUCACUGCUCACGGAGCCCGGGUCGGGUCAGGCCGUGCCAGGCAGCAGCCGGGUGGAAGCAUCCAUCAAUCCAAGCACUUUUACCAGCUUUUAUUAGAAACAGCAGCACAUUUCGAGUUUCCCUUUGGGUCACAAAUAUAGCAUGUCCCCUCUUUUUAAGUACACGGCAUAAAACACAGCAUCAGGGCUUCCCGGCUCGGUCCUUCUUUAACCAGGGAUUGCUUUUGGAUAAGCUUUGGGUCGGCGUUUGCUGGUGUUGACAUUCUGACACCCUGCACUGCUGGGGACAGCUGUGUGGGCAGUGAGUCCGGCGGUGGCGGUGAGGGUACAACAGCUGAAGGUUUGCAAGAAAGACUUAAAAGCAGAGAGCGGCGGUGGUUGAGAAGGGAGCGGCGCUGCAACGCACUGCUGUCUGUGCAGCGCGGGGGUAAAAGCUCUCCUUUCGAGAGAGAAAGCAGCGCUGCUCCCCCCCAUCCUCACCCAGCGCUGCUGCAGGGAACGCUCACCCUCUUUAUAACCCAUUGGGACCCACUGUGAGCCACGCGCUGCUGCACCUGCGGGGGGAGCCCAGGAGCGUGAGGGCACGGUGAGAGGAUACGAAAGGGAACAUGGACGUGAUUUGUUAUCUUUUAUUCCACAGAAAACCCUCCAAUCUAGACUCAGAGUUAACAGCAGAAAAAUAGCGUUAAAGUCAAUAGGUUCGUCUUUUACCGCAGACUAAAUAAAUUAGCCCAGCGUCAUCUCCACGCUCUCUCUCUCUUCCCCCCCCCCCCCCCCCCCCCCCCCCCUUCGCCGGUGGAUCCUUCUCUCCAUUACCGCGGCUUUCAGAAAGCAGCGGCUCUCAGCCAUUCCCUCCGGGUGCCCCCCGGGGACGACCGCGUCCCAUCCCGGGCUUCGGCCACCGAUCCCCUCCGCUUCCCCUCCCCGGCAGCGAAAGCGUCGCC
ensembl:lncRNA